ACGGAAGGCAGCAGUAGGGAAUCUUCGGGAAUGGGGGCAACCCUGGCCGAGCAACGCCGCGUGAGUGAAGAAGGUUUUCGGAUCGUAAAGCUCGGUUGUAAGAGAAGAACGUGUGUGAGAGUGGAAAGUUCACACAGUGACGGUAACUUACCAGAGAGGGACGGCUAACUACGUGCCAGCAGCCGCGGUAAUACGUAGGUCCCGAGCGUUGUCCGGAUUUAUUGGGCGUAAAGCGAGCGCAGGCGGUUUAAUAUGUCUGAAGUUAAAGGCAGUGGCUUAACCAUUGUUCGCUUUGGCAACUGUUAGACUUGAGUGCAGAAGGUGAGAGUGAAAUUCCAUGUGUAGCGGUGAGAUGCGUAGAUAUAUGGAGGAACACCGGUGGCGCAAGCGGCUCUCUGGUCUGUAACUGACGCUGAGGCUCGAAAGCGUGGGGAGCAAACAGGAUUAGAUACACUGGUA
rnacentral:rRNA from 1 species